CCUGGAGACCCUUCGUGCUCACCAUCUGUGCCAGACACAGAGUAAUUAGUGGGAGUAAACCUGAUAAACACUCUCAAAACUGGCCAACACCGAUAGAAGGGAGAAUAACUCUAAUCUAUAAUCUACAACAUGUGACCGGUGGAAUAUUCCAAAUGAUUCAUGGGGUGACUGUGUCCAUAGCAGGAUUAACCAGGUGACUGCAGUCACACACACGCUGCAGAGAGAGCAUCAUGACUUUGAAGUAGGUCACACGCUUUUCACUCUUUAAAUUAUUUAUUUAUUCUUGGAAAAUGCUAAAUAACCAGAAAGUACUGCUGUCCAAAAAUAGACACCUUUGUAAAUAACACCUUUGUGCUACUGUAACCUGCUAAUCUCCGGGCAAAUCUCCAUGAUCUCCCAUCCUGCAGUGAGGUCAGCGUAUCCAUAGCAACACUGCAGCUGAGAGAGAAUUUGGACUGUGCUCCUAUAUAUAUAUUAGUAUAUAUAUAUAUAUAUGCUUUAACAAAGUAAGAAAUAAAACAUGA